UCGAGAUUUUGAGCACGCUUACGUAUAUUGAAUUUGAUUGCGCGGCUCUGCUAGCUAUGUUAUAAAAGUAUAUAGAGACAACAGCUUCGGCCUUGUUGUCUGGCGUUAAGUCAAAAUUAGAAACACGUUUUACUCUGUAGAACUCAGCAUAAUAUGGCUUGAGGUGACACAUCACGUUGUAUGCUCGUGUUCUAGAAAUUAUGUCAACAAUCGUUUCUAAGUAUCCUGUAUCUUGGAUUUUUUUCUGUCAAGUCGAGGUAAAGUUGUUAAACAACAAUAAUAUCCUAGCAUUCAUCUUGAGUUAUAGCAAUACGAGGCAGUGAACAGCUGCCAACCAAAUCGGUAAUUGUAAUUAAUCUUCAAAGUAAGCAACCCACUUAGUUCAGUCACGUUUUUGGAUUUUUUUUUACUAUCAGGAUGAUGGAAGAAUGCUAUAGUUUGCAUUAUCAUAUUAUAGCCACAAAAAGAUUAUACGUUUAUGGAGCAAUAAGUUUUUUAAUCUUGUUCAUCAUAAUUGGAUAAAUAUUAACCUAAAACCUUUCGACAGAGCAAAUUAAUUGCAAACGACAAAAUUUCUUGACGCUAAUGUUCUCAAUUUAAUCUCACGUCUUAAAUGAUGGAAGCCAAAGCAGAAUAAAGUGUACUGAAUCGUAAAGGCGAAAAUCUCUCUGAGGUCUGUGUUUCAUUAUACGGUUCAAAACGGCGGAAGGGACGGAAGUAAAAAAUAAAUCAAAGAGAUCAUGAUUGAUGAUUUUCGCACAGUGUAAUAUUGCAUACAUGGCACGUGAAAUGUGAUCUUCUAAAACACUUCAUCCAACGCCCUCUUCAGCGAGAAGGAAAUUUCACGAGAUUUUCAGGCCUUUAACAUCCCAUCCUCAAAAGUUACACCCACCAAUCAGCAAGAUGUCAGCUUUCUUCAAUCAAGCAAACUGAAAACUCUUGGGAAUGACAAGAAGAUUUAAAUGCGCGCACGCCAGUUUGCCGCUUAUGUCGCAGACUUCACGAUUGUCUGAAAAUUUUGACUCCGUCUGCCCCAAGACUAACUUACCACGAUCGCUACAUAUGUAUUUCAGAGCACAAAGAGCAGCGCGUUCGCAAGUGCUAAGACGGGGAUAGUGAUUCUGUAAGCGCGCCAAGCCAGAGCUCUAGAACAAUAGGACACGCGUGCGAUUGAUAUACCCUCGCAUGAGGACGUUACGAAAUAAACCGUUACGGCACGGAAAGGGCAGUCGCUUAUCCAGGACCCAAGGCGCCAAUGAAAACAUUAAACAAUUAAUUGAACAGUAUAUGUAAUUAUUUAAAAGAGGCAAAGUUUACAGAGGUGAACCUCGUUCGGGGCAUUCAAAUACGUUUAGUAUUGGUCACUCUGUUGAAAAUGGCCUCAAGAAUGAACUCGGUUUUAUCUUGCAUCGCACAGAUAGGAAGCGAGUUAAGAGAUCGCCGUCAUUUCCUUUGGCUUUAACACUUCACUGUUUAAGUUUGUGGUUUUCUAGUUAAGCCGAGAUAGGUUUUAUCCCUCAGUUCAGCUGUACGAAUGGUUUGUCGGUGGGCUCCAACAGAACAGCAUCAAGCGACGUGCAACGAAUAUUAUGUUGCUGAGAUGUAAUAUGAUCGUACCAAGGUUCACCGAUAUCUCGUGACCAGACUUCUUAAUCUAACGGAAACGAUAAUCUUAAACUAUAAAUGCCAGCGCAAAGGCAAUUGCUGAAGAGAGGAUAAACACUGAGAUCUGCUUCCCUAGAAAACGAGAGAUAAUGUUUUGAAUGAUAACGACAGUGAACCGAUGAGUCCACGCUGUACAUCUUGGGUUAUGAGUGCCAAAUAUCACAGAAGAGAAAUUGAAAGCAGAUCAGUCCAGGCAUGUAUGUAUUUAGGACGAUUCGUAGAAGUGGACAAAAUUCCUGCCGGUGUGAACGCUCCUCCCGGCUGCGAGAACGGAAAUGGGUUCGAUCAAUCCGUCAGCUCCCCAUCGUUAUACGAAGUUUACGGUCAGUUAUGUCUUGCGUCAAGAGAAAAUGAUAUUUCUCUUCCUUACCAGCUUAUUGGUAACACUUGCCUCAACGAAUUAGUAGAAAACGAGCGGAAGUUUGUCUGGCACAUGGUUUACCAAGAAAUGUUUACUUUGGCGGGACCUCACGAUUAGUUGAUGUUUUAAUUAGAUUCCUUUUUUAAAAAUGCCAUCUUGUGUAUAAUGAUUCAAUCUAUUGUUUCUUAAUCUUUUUUCUGAAAUCCUCCUACUUUAAAAGCAAAAAAUUUAAAUUGUAAAACAACGAUAGGGUAUAAAUUAAGUAACAUACCUUUGAAAGGCCAGAGUGGGUUUUAUGGUGUCCUUAUGAAAAAAAUAUAAAUAAAAAAAUUGACAACCUUGUGCAUGACAGUCUGCAAGUGCGAUGGCUCAGACCACAAGGAUCAUCUCAACGUUUUCAGUGUUCCUGAUUGGUAACCCGAUGUUUCCUUUAGCGAAGUAGGAAAGUUAUCUAACUGCAAUUUAUUACUUUGUGAAGCUAUCGUUCGAAAAUAGAAAGGGGGGGGGAGGGUGGACAAAACCUUGUUGUUCUUUCGCACUAUCAAAAAAUAGUUAACCUUUCGCAGUUUCAAUUUAGCGGUGAGAUCAUACGAACUUUCUUUCGAAUUCAAGAGGAAUUCUUUUGGUAUUCAAAUAUUGUAUACUCAUGGUGGUGAGGAAAGAGAGAAAUAGCCAAUCAAGAUAUUUUGUUGUCGGUGAUCAAGCAGUAAGGUUUUUAUAUAAAAUGGAGGGAAAAUGAUAAAAUAAGAGUCAGUGUAGUUAACGCUACAACUGAGCUGAGGAUAAGGAAUUGAUAAAACUGUAAGAAGGCACAAGGAACGGUCUGAUAGUGGUCACAUUUUUUGUCCUGAUCUCCAAGUGCGAGAAGAGACAAAUUCAGCUCAGGUACAUUUGGGUAGAUCAUUUUCCAAGUAAAGUGAUAUCCUGAAUAAGCCGUAUUUAAUAUAAAAUAAAACAGAAGAUAGCGUUGAA
rnacentral:lncRNA from 1 species